rnacentral:rRNA from 1 species
AUUCCAGCUCUGUAAGCGUAUACCAAAGUUGUUGCAGUUAAAACGCUCGUAGUCGGAUUUUGGUAGUUCCGGAUGUGUGCGCGUCGUGCGCGCACUUUGCAGGGGCUGCUUUUGUGGGUAUGCGUGGCAUGAGGCGACUUUAUUGUUGAACGUGUCUACGCGACCACCUUUUACUGUGAAAAAAUUAGAGUGUUCAAAGCAGGCAUUUGUCGUGAAUACAUUAGCAUGGAAUAAUAGAAUAGGACUUGGUUCUAUUUUGUUGGUUUGUUGGGAUCGAGUAAUGAUUAAGAGGGACAGUUGGGGGCAUUUGUACUCCGGAGCUAGAGGUGAAAUUCUUAGAUUUCCGGAAGACAAACAGCUGCGAAAGCGUCUGCCAAGGAUGUUUUCAUCA